rnacentral:rRNA from 1 species
GAUGAACGCUGGCGGCGUGCCUAAUACAUGCAAGUCGAGCGAACAGACGAGGAGCUUGCUCCUCUGACGUUAGCGGCGGACGGGUGAGUAACACGUGGAUAACCUACCUAUAAGACUGGGAUAACUUCGGGAAACCGGAGCUAAUACCGGAUAAUAUAUUGAACCGCAUGGUUCAAUAGUGAAAGACGGUUUUGCUGUCACUUAUAGAUGGAUCCGCGCCGCAUUAGCUAGUUGGUAAGGUAACGGCUUACCAAGGCAACGAUGCGUAGCCGACCUGAGAGGGUGAUCGGCCACACAGGAACUGAGACACGGUCCAGACACCUACGGGAGGCAGCAGUAGGGAAUCUUCCGCAAUGGGCGAAAGCCUGACGGAGCAACGCCGCGUGAGUGAUGAAGGUCUUCGGAUCGUAAAACGCUGUUAUUAGGGAAGAACAAAUGUGUAAGUAACGAUGCACGUCUUGACGGUACCUAAUCGGAAAGCCACGGCUAACUACGU